rnacentral:misc_RNA from 1 species
AAGUCGUAACAAGGUUUCCGUAGGUGAACCUGCGGAAGGAUCAUUAACACGUAUCCACGUAUCAACCAAUGAGAACCUGUUUUCCCGUCUCCCUGUGCAAAGAAUGAAUUGGAACCAGUUUGAGGGAGUGAUGGGACCGAAAGGUCGGCCUUCCUGGUAUACUUAUGUAAAUAGAAAUAUUUGCAUAGACAAUUGAAUUUUUGUUGCAGGCUAUUUCUUAUCGCUUUGAUCCCCAUCAUGAUCGUGGCGGUAGGGAAACUUUCACUAAAUUUACCUUUUUUGCUAGUUGACUUUUUAUAUGUGUUAUUUUGCGAAAGCAUGGUGGCACACGUUUAUUAAUUGAACGUUAAAAAAUACAACUCUUAGCAAUGGAUAUCUCGGUUCUC